CGCGGCGCAGAAGCCAUGAUGGGAAGGGAAAACGAGUUAGGCAAAAACGAAGAACUCAAAAGAAGAUAUUUUGAAGAACGUUGGUAACCAAACAACAACCUCCAUGCUGACUUCCAUUGUAUGGACACAAGACUGCAGAGAGAAGAGGAGUGCUCGGUGGUGCUGAUAAUGGAUGCUGAGGGACCUUGAGUGACACCAAAGGGGGAAACUGCUGGAGACCGUGAAGCAAGUGGAGACAGUGAAGGGGAGAAACUAG